GACAGAGCAUAUAAUGUUUCUAAUAAUGGGAUGUUUCAUCAAGUUUUACUUGCAUAUUAUAUGUAUUUUAAAAGGAGCUAUAAUAUGGAGUUAAUUCAUCGCAAGAAUGCAAAAGGUUGGCCACUCGACCAGCCCCUCAGGCCUGUAACGUUUUAAACCAUGAGUCAUCAUAGCGUCAGUGGCUGAGGCAGCCUGCAGCUCCCCUGACAGUCACUCCGUUUACUCACGUCAAAAGAACAUGGGAGCCAGGCAGCAUGAACACAGGCCUGCCGCUGUAGCUGUCUGCAACAGGGCCUCAGAGGGGGGCAGCUUUGUGUGUGUGCGUGUGUGAGUUGACCAGGACAACAGUCAGAGAGGUGAAGGAUGGACAAAGGAAGCCGAUGAAGGUGAAACAGAGACCGAGAGAGUCUGCAGGAUGGGGACCCUGGAUUCCUUUCCCAAGCGUGCUGUGAGCUCCUGAACCGCGUGGCAGCUCAAACUGCCAGCACCGCGCUGCUAAUGGGACUGCAGAGUAACAAAACCUUUCAACAAGACCUGCAGACACCUGCACCUAAUACAGACACCCAGGACGACGGGGAGGGGGUGAGGGAGGACCACAGCAUCACAGGAGACGCUGACUGUGCAACAAUAAUGGUACACGUGUAGAAGAUGAUUUAUUCAGCAGAAUAAGUACAUGGCACAGGUUAGAAAAAAACUCCAUUAGUAUUAUUGGUACUCAAGCUUUGUGACCUAUUAUUCAUGCUAGCCAGAGCUGCCCACUGGCAACUGAAUAAACUGAGGGUGAUUCAUGAAGAAGACAAAAGAAUAUUCAGGACUCGGCAACCCCCUAAUGUUUGUGAUAACUAUAUUAGGGCAAGGUGCUGAGUAAACUGUGUAAAGUCAAAGGCACUUCUGACAAUGGAGGCCGUGAUAAACUUUUCCUGCCUUUCCUUUUACGUUUGGGGUGAUUACUUGCAUUUGUGUUCCAAACUACAGUCAGAGACGCACUGAAAAGGGCCAUAAAAAAGCUACAACGAUAAUCAUUAAAAGACCAGCGUGUCAUCUUUUUCACUUCCUUCGAUCUCCAGAUCGUCUCCAAAGCCAAUUAGCUGUACAAUUAAACCACUUUCAAAUGCUGACGGAAAAACCAUCAGCACUGGAAAAACAACAAUACCAUUGGUUAACACACUGCCACCCAGUUCAGUGUGUUGGUCUAUCCAAAAAUCUGAAAGGAGAUUUCCCCCACUAUUUACAAAUUGGAGUGAAGGGCCAAACUGAAUUUGAUCAAUACAAUCUACUCCCAUUUCAGAAGUGAACACAGACGUUAAAAACCAUCAGUGGGAAAAAAACACACACACACAAAUGUAAACAUGCACAAGUUUCUUAU